UACGGAGGGUGCAAGCGUUAUCCGGAUUCACUGGGUUUAAAGGGUGCGUAGGUGGGUUGAUAAGUCAGUGGUGAAAUCCACGAGCUUAACUUGGGAACUGCCAUUGAUACUAUUGAUCUUGAAUACCGUGGAGGUCAGCGGAAUAUGUCAUGUAGCGGUGAAAUGCUUAGAUAUGACAUAGAACACCAAUUGCGAAGGCAGCUGGCUACGCGAAUAUUGACACUGAUGCACGAAAGCGUGGGGAUCAAACAGG
rnacentral:rRNA from 1 species